rnacentral:rRNA from 1 species
CUACCAUGCAAGUCGAGCGUGAUUUAUGAGGGACGAAACUUCGGUCUAGGAAUCAUAAUGCAAAGCGGCGGACGGGUGAGUAACGCGUAGGCAACCUGCCCUUGACACAGGGAUAGCCUCGGGAAACCGGGAUUAAAACCUGGUGACGCCAAACAGUCACAUGGCUGUUUGGCCAAAGAUUUAUCGGUCAAGGAUGGGCCUGCGUCUGAUUAGUUAGUUGGUGGGGUAACGGCCUACCAAGACGACGAUCAGUAGCCGACCUGAGAGGGUGAUCGGCCACAUUGGAACUGAGACACGGUCCAAACUCCUACGGGAGGCAGCAGUGGGGAAUAUUGCACAAUGGGCGAAAGCCUGAUGCAGCAACGCCGCGUGAGCGAUGAAGGCCUUUGGGUCGUAAAGCUCUGUCCUUGGGGAAGAAACAAAUGACGGUACCCAAGGAGGAAGCCCCGGCUAACUACGUGCCAGCAGCCGCGGUAAUACGUAGGGGGCAAGCGUUAUCCGGAAUUAUUGGGCGUAAAGAGUACGUAGGUGGUCUUUUAAGCGCAGGGUUUAAGGCAAUGGCUUAACCAUUGUUCGCCCUGUGAACUGGAAGACUUGAGUGUAGGAGAGGAAAGUGGAAUUCCUAGUGUAGCGGUGAAAUGCGUAGAUAUUAGGAGGAACAUCAGUGGCGAAGGCGACUUUCUGGACUAUUACUGACACUGAGGUACGAAAGCGUGGGGAGCAAACAGGAUUAGAUACCCUGGUAGUCCACGCCGUAAACGAUGAGCACUAGGUGUCGGGGUCGCAAGGCUUCGGUGCCGUAGUUAACGCAUUAAGUGCUCCGCCUG